rnacentral:lncRNA from 1 species
GGGGAAGGCGGGAGGGCAGCGCCUGGAGUGUGAGAGCCACUAUCUCUAAGUUGUUCGUGGUGUGAGGCACAGGGUGUGCCUGUGGGUGCCCGGAGGUGUGGGAGUAUGCACACCAGGGCAGGGUGGGGAAGGCCCCAUUCACACCUUCUCCUACAGGCCUUGUGUCUUGGGGCAGCUCCAGCUUUUUCUGGGCCCCCUCUGCCCUCGACCCUUUUGGGAGGAGGGUGACAGCUGCUCCUACAAAGCCGGGGACAGCUGGGUGGCUGGGGACAGCUGGAUGGGGUGUCUCCCAGCCUCCCUGGCUUCCCAGCACCCCGAGGCUGGACUGCUGGCAGCUGGCUGCUUUGCCUGCAGCCUGUGUGCUUAAGUGUGUAAUUGUUGGGGGGAGGGGAGGCCUAGUGAGGCUCAAACCCAUCCACCCCCACCAGAGUCUCUCCAUAUCCCAUUCUGACUCAUGUAUCUGGAGAGGAAGGACCCCUCCCUCCGCUAAAACGAAACUAGGCCAAGUGGGAAAGAAAUUGGGCAGCUUUCUCUCUUGGCUCCUAACCCUUGGCACAGACGAUGUCCUAGGGUCCCUGACAACUAGAGAAAGGGGCAGUGAGACAGGGGCAGAUGUGAGUGGAGUUAAAUGUCUAUCUGUCCACCAGCACCUGCCCCCAGGCAUCCUUCCACCCUGGGCCGAAGGGGCACUGUGCUCCAACCAUCUGCCCCCUCGCCAUAGUCCCAAACAGGUGCAGGGGAAGAGAAGGGGGCAGGCCAGCUGUUGUCAUCCUGUCCUGGCUCUGGCUUCCUGCCAAAGUGAGGAAGGGGGAGCAAUGAAGGGUCCACCCACCCCACACCAAGUCGUUUUCUAUUCCCACAGGAUGGGAAGACAGCUUCUACUUAGCAGGACCAAGACUCUGGUUUGCUCUGGCCAGCCCAACCUGCCAGGGGAACAGGGCUUGACCAUGCCUUCCACCCCAGGUCCUUACUUUUAUGAGAAGGGGAGUAACUAGGGCUGGGUGCCGCGUGGACCCCUGGCACAGGGCUUACUCAUGGCUUCCUGGGGUAGGAGGCAUUCAGGCCCUGAUUCUACCCAGACAAGGAAGGAGAACUAGGCACAGCAAAGGUUGCCCCUCCUUCUAGAAUGGAAG